AUGUCUUUUAACCUAUGUCUUGUAGUAACCAAGAGAAGUGUCAUCGCAGAAGAAAUGGCAGAAGUUCCUCAGAUACCUGUGAACACCGAGCAGUGCACAUCAUCUUUAUUAUACUUCUCUGACUGGAAUAGCAAGGAACAGUUUGAGUUGAUGAGAAAAACUCAAAAGAAGAUGCUUUGAAGAAUCAUGUUAAUCAAAACCAACAGGUGUAGAAAUGAAAGCUCCCAAGCAAAGAUCUCGCUGGACUAAGAUGCGGAAAGACAUGCUGCACAAUGACCCACAAUGAGCAAUAACCAAGAACAGUUUUCACUGAUUACCUUUAAACAGGAUUCAUAGUAACAGUUAGGUAAUAAUUAUUUAAAUUAUUUAUCCAAGUACAAUAUGCUUCAUUUCAAACACUUUGCUAUGUACCAAUGUGUUUUUCAAAACACCUUUUACAAUUUUAAUGUUUUAACCUUUAUUUAUUAAAUGUUACGGUCCAAGUGUACAUAUAAAUGCCUCAUUCAUUCAAGUAAAUGCAUGUGUCAUUUUGCAAAAUGUUAAAUAUUUUAUCUACACUUAUUGUAUAACUGCUGUUUUUUGCUGUAAUCACAUGGUUUUGUAAAUAAAUUUUACUCAUGCUAGCUUGAUCA
ensembl:lncRNA